CAGCAGCCGCGGUAAUACGAAGGGUGCAAGCGUUAAUCGGAAUUACUGGGCGUAAAGCGUGCGUAGGCGGUGAGUUAAGUCUGCUGUGAAAUCCCCGGGCUCAACCUGGGAAUGGCAGUGGAUACUGGCUCGCUAGAGUGUGUCAGAGGAUGGUGGGAUUCCCGGUGUAGCGGUGAAAUGCGUAGAGAUCGGGAGGAACACCAGUGGCGAAGGCGGCCAUCUGGGACAACACUGACGCUGAGGCACGAAAGCGUGGGGAGCAAACAGGAUUAGAUACCCCCGUAGUCCCUGUCUCUUAUAC
rnacentral:rRNA from 1 species